rnacentral:lncRNA from 1 species
GCGGUGGCUCAUGCCUAUAAUCCUAGCACUUUGGGAGGCCAAGACGGGUGGAUCACGAGGUCAGGAGAUGGAGAUCAUCCUGGGCUCACCCCUGUAAUCUCAGCAAUUUGGGAGGCCGAGGAGGGUGGAUCACUUGAGGUCAGGAGUUCGAGACCAGCCUGGCCAACAUGAUGAAACCUCGUCUCUACUAAAAAUACAAAAAUU